GGAAUUGCAUCCGCGGCGAGCCGCGCCUAUAUAGGGCUUGCCGGCAACGGCUAUGGCGAUAAACGGCUAGCGUAAUAAACCUAUUGGACCCGGGGGCAGUGCCCGGCGUCUCCACCAAAACCUCCCGCAUUGGCGGGUUUGCAUGGGGACGAAACAGGAUCGACAAGGGCGUAAAGGUUAGACUUUUGCUCGGCAUGGUACCACCGAUAUCGGGCCAUCCUAAUAGUUGCCAAUGACAACUAUGCUCCGGUCGCUCUCGCUGCGUAAUGCGGCGCUAGCACUGGGAAUCCAAGUCCUCCGCUCCUAGCAGGGCGAUAGGCGGGGUCCGCAGGCACCUGGCAACAGAAGCCUGCACC
rnacentral:tmRNA from 1 species